ACGAACGCUGGCGGCGUGGAUAAGACAUGCAAGUCGAACGAGAGAAUUGCUAGCUUGCUAAUAAUUCUCUAGUGGCGCACGGGUGAGUAACACGUGAGUAACCUGCCCCCGAGAGCGGGAUAGCCCUGGGAAACUGGGAUUAAUACCGCAUAGUAUCGAAAGAUUAAAGCAGCAAUGCGCUUGGGGAUGGGCUCGCGGCCUAUUAGUUAGUUGGUGAGGUAACGGCUCACCAAGGCGAUGACGGGUAGCCGGUCUGAGAGGAUGUCCGGCCACACUGGAACUGAGACACGGUCCAGACACCUACGGGUGGCAGCAGUCGAGAAUCAUUCACAAUGGGGGAAACCCUGAUGGUGCGACGCCGCGUGGGGGAAUGAAGGUCUUCGGAUUGUAAACCCCUGUCAUGUGGGAGCAAAUUAAAAAGAUAGUACCACAAGAGGAAGAGACGGCUAACUCUGUGCCAGCAGCCGCGGUAAUACAGAGGUCUCAAGCGUUGUUCGGAAUCACUGGGCGUAAAGCGUGCGUAGGCUGUUUCGUAAGUCGUGUGUGAAAGGCGCGGGCUCAACCCGCGGACGGCACAUGAUACUGCGAGACUAGAGUAAUGGAGGGGGAACCGGAAUUCUCGGUGUAGCAGUGAAAUGCGUAGAUAUCGAGAGGAACACUCGUGGCGAAGGCGGGUUCCUGGACAUUAACUGACGCUGAGGCACGAAGGCCAGGGGAGCGAAAGGGAUUAGAUACCCCUGUAGUCCUGGCAGUAAACGGUGCACGCUUGGUGUGCGGGGAAUCGACCCCCUGCGUGCCGGAGCUAACGCGUUAAGCGUGCCGCCUGGGGAGUACGGUCGCAAGAUUAAAACUCAAAGAAAUUGACGGGGACCCGCACAAGCGGUGGAGUAUGUGGCUUAAUUCGAUGCAACGCGAAGAACCUUACCUGGGCUUGACAUGUAAUGAACAACAUGUGAAAGCAUGCGACUCUUCGGAGGCGUUACACAGGUGCUGCAUGGCCGUCGUCAGCUCGUGUCGUGAGAUGUUUGGUUAAGUCCAGCAACGAGCGCAACCCCUGUUGCCAGUUACCAGCACGUGAAGGUGGGGACUCUGGCGAGACUGCCCAGAUCAACUGGGAGGAAGGUGGGGACGACGUCAGGUCAGUAUGGCCCUUAUGCCCAGGGCUGCACACGUACUACAAUGCCCAGUACAGAGGGGGCCGAAGCCGCGAGGCGGAGGAAAUCCUAAGAACUGGGCCCAGUUCGGACUGUAGGCUGCAACCCGCCUACACGAAGCCGGAAUCGCUAGUAAUGGCGCAUCAGCUACGGCGCCGUGAAUACGUUCCCGGGUCUUGUACACACCGCCCGUCACAUCAUGGAAGCCGGUCGCACCCGAAGUAUCUGAAGCCAACCGCAAGGAGGCAGGGUCCUAAGGUGAGACUGGUAACUGGGAUG
rnacentral:rRNA from 1 species